rnacentral:tRNA from 1 species
UCCCUAGUAGCUCAGACAGUAAAGCAUCUGUUUGCAGUGCAGGAGACCCAGGUUCGAUCCCUGGGUUGGGAA